AGGAGCAGCAGCAACCCCUCAACAGCAACAUUGUACCCAUCAGCUUUGAGCACCCGCCCCUAUAAAUGUCUCUGCACGGCCCUGUUUCUCCGGUUUGGCUACGGCAGGCAUUGAGGUGCGUUUAAUGUCUGUCUGUUAAUUUGAGUUUCCAUGAAACUGCGAUAAACAGACCCAGCCUAAUGUAUACUAUGUGGCCCAAGGACAACAAGCUUACUGCUGCUGCCGAGGAAGAUGAAAAAACCCCCACCUGGGAUUAUUUUGCCCUUUCCAGUAUGAAGCGACAGAUCUCAGAUCUCAGGGAUGUGGUGGAACAAGAGAUUCACGUCACAGAUGACAAAUCUUCAGCAACUGUGUGAUGCUGUUAUGUCAGUAUGACCAAAAUCUCAGAGGACUGUUUCUAGCACCUUAAUGAAUCUAUGCCAUGAAGAACUAAAACAAUUCUGAAGGAAAAAUUUAACCCAGUACUAAUAAGGUGUACCUAACAAAAUGGCUGGUAAGUGUAUAUAGUAUAUGUUUCUGUUGAUGAGAGA